rnacentral:lncRNA from 1 species
GCUCUGUAAAAGCAGGGAUGGUGGGCCCCCACCCUUCCUCUUCCUUCCAUGAAACCUACCAAGACACCAACAUGUAGACCACUAGCCCAGACAAUCUCUGAUGUGCUAUGAUUUGCCAAAAUGUUCUCACCUCCUUUGUUGAUAGUGGCACUUCCUCACUCAGCAAUAAAGCAAAGAGGCAUCUAGAAAGAUGGCAACAUAGGGACCUGAGAGUCCACACACAGGACUUGGGGCAGAGGCAGGUUUGUGAACUGGGGAGAAUUGUACAGCCAUAUUCCAAAGCAGAUAUAAAACAAAUGGCCAAGACCACUGUACCCGCUUAGCACUGAAAUGCGUAGGUCAGAGAUGAUUUGGUUAUCUCUUUUUAAACUGUACUUUAUGGAACACUGGUGCUCAUUGAAAGUACCUCGGGGACCAGAGUGGGGCGAGGGAGUGGAAUCAACACCCCUACUCCCUCUCCAUCCAUAGCCACUCCUCUUGUAUCUGACUUAAGUGUAAGGCUUUCUGAUAAUGAUUUCAUUAGAGUAGCUGGUUCCACUGCUUCAAAACAGAAGCAGUAUGGAA